rnacentral:rRNA from 1 species
CGGCGGACGGGUGAGUAACACGUGGAUAACCUACCUAUAAGACUGGGAUAACUUCGGGAAACCGGAGCUAAUACCGGAUAAUAUAUUGAACCGCAUGGUUCAAUAGUGAAAGACGGUUUUGCUGUCACUUAUAGAUGGAUCCGCGCCGCAUUAGCUAGUUGGUAAGGUAACGGCUUACCAAGGCAACGAUGCGUAGCCGACCUGAGAGGGUGAUCGGCCACACUGUAACUGAGACACGGUCCAG